CAGUGUUUGAAAUGACAACUUGUAUGAAAGAGAAAAUAAAGUUUAUCUGUUUUGGUCCUAUGACGAUUUGUUAUAAUGGUUUUGUUCACAGUGUUACUGGUUGUAACAAGUAUGUACAUUUAAUUGAAGGGGAAAAUAAUAAAAUUGUUUAAUCUGUCCAUGCAAAAUCAAUACCAAUAGUAAUUGAAACCAAGAUAAUGGUUAAUAUGCAGC
rnacentral:lncRNA from 1 species